UCAACCACUCCCUCGAGGCAGAAGAAUAAUCUGAGAGCCAUUUCAUUGUCUUCAGGAUAAAAUAACUAUUAGACAGAAACAGUGAUUCGCUUACUUUUUUCAUAAAAUUUCAUCAUUUUUAUUUAUUUUUUUUUCUUGCGAAAAUACAUGUAUUUUAUUAUUGUAUUUGACGAGUGAUUCAAUGUGAACAUUACAGUGGGUACUAAAUAGUUUCGUCAGUACCAAAUUCCAAAGCUGAAAAGUAAAUAUUCGUGGAGGUGGAGCUGGUGGGAUGUUCUCACAAUCGCCCGGAACGCGCCAGAGGUAACGUUAAUUGGAUCAGGAGGGAUGUGACAUUUUUUUCGAGACGUUACUCACUUCUGAACAAAGAUGAUGAUUCGACGGAAUUAAAUAUCAUUUAAAAAAUUAUGAGUAAAUAAACAAGAUGGAGACAUUCAUGAAUCUUCACGUAUUGAGCUGAUCUUCAGAGGUGAGUAGCCCCUCGUAAUUAAUUCCUAACAUAAAUUACGUCAAUAUGAGUGAUUGAUAGUAUCUCUGAGAUUGAAUGUCCAUAUACAUAAUUUAUAUAUAUAUUGUUUCUCCAUUUUUAAAAACACAUAUAGAGCGCCCAGCGGUUAUAUCAAUACAGCAACGGCGGAGUAUUAAUUCUCUGUUAAAAUAGUCUCAGCUAGCGAGCGCCUACCGUUAAACGAUUUAUACUAAUGGAUAUUUUCAUUCUCUUUAUUUCGUUAGAGUAUGGUCUCUUUAAAACUCUUAUAAAUAAUUAUGAUUACAGCGUAACAUUGAAUCUCAUCACUCGUGCGAGCAGCCAAGGCAAUUCGUUAGUCGUUUCAAAUUCGUUUGAUAGAUAUUACUCUAAUAUUCGUUAUUCCUUGCAGGUUAAACUAUCUUUGUGAGAACUGGAUAAAUCACACAGAGAGU